UACGUAGGGGGCAAGCGUUGUCCGGACUUAUUGGGCGUAAAGAGCGUGUAGGCGGUCAGGUAGGUCCGUUGUGAAAACUCGAGGCUCAACCUCGAGACGCCGAUGGAAACCAUCUGACUAGAGUCCGGAAGAGGAGAGUGGAAUUCCUGGUGUAGCGGUGAAAUGCGCAGAUAUCAGGAAGAACACCCGUGGCUAAGGCGGCUCUCUAGUACGGUACUGACGCUGAGACGCGAAAGCGUGGGGAGCGAACAGG
rnacentral:rRNA from 1 species